ACAGAUUUCAUUGAAAAAUGAACACAAUUUAAAAAUGGAGUUCCUUGGUCCUUUAGGAAGAAGUCCUCUCAAUGCAACUGAUAGUAAUUGUUGCAUUAAAAGGUGAGAAUCAUGAGACUUCAGUCCAACUAUCUUACAUUCUUCCACUGAAAUGCAAUUUGCAAUAUUAGAACCAUAACCAUCAGGUAAUCUCAAGGUAGCAAGCCUUUUGCAAAACAUUUGUUUUUCUGCUUUUGAUAAAGUGUGAGGAGCUGCAGGUAAGUAAAAUUUAUUUCCUCUACUCUCAGGAUGUAGAUCAUGCCUAAUAUUCAUAGCUUCCAAGUCCUUACGACAGUUAAUGCCAUCUUUCGAUUUUCCUUUCACAUUAAAAA
rnacentral:lncRNA from 1 species